AGCUGGGAACAGAUCAUCGGUGAUUUGCUCAAGGCAUUUCUGUGACAGUAAUUUAAUUCCUCCACCUAUGGUAUUCGGAGAUAAGAAAAGUGGUCCAUGGCGCAAGAAGAAAGAUGCUAUUCCGAAGAUCCUCUUUCCUAACCAGCCACGUCAUUUGGAGGCUGAACCAAGCAAUGUUGUCAAAAAGAGAGAGCGAAAGCGUCUGGUUGCAGAUGCAUUGUUAGAAUAUGAUGCUUUGUACACUCAUGUGGCUGACAUGCCCAGCCAAGUCUAUGCAAUCCCAACCGAACUCGA